GAGGAUGCUGCCGGGGAGGCUGUGCUUGGUGCCGCUCCUGCUGGCGCUGGGCGUGGGGAGCGGCGGCGGCAGUGGCGACGGCGGGGACAGCCGGCGGCGCCGCCUCCUCGCGGCGAAAGUAAACAAACACAAGCCAUGGAUUGAGACAUCCUACCAUGGAGUCAUAACUGAGAACAAUGACACCGUCAUUUUGGACCCUCCACUGGUAGCCCUGGAUAAAGAUGCCCCAGUGCCUUUUGCAGGGGAAAUCUGUGCAUUCAAGAUCCAUGGGCAGGAGCUGCCCUUUGAGGCUGUGGUACUGAAUAAGACAUCUGGAGAGGGCCGGCUCCGUGCCAAGAGUCCCAUCGACUGUGAGCUGCAGAAGGAGUAUACAUUCAUUAUCCAAGCCUAUGACUGUGGUGUGGGACCCCAGGAGGCAGCCUGGAAGAAGUCACACAAGGCUGUGGUCCACAUCCAGGUGAAGGACGUCAAUGAGUUUGCUCCCACCUUCAAAGAGCCAGCCUACAAGGCCAUCGUCACCGAGGGCAAGAUCUACGACAGCAUCCUGCAGGUAGAAGCCAUUGAUGAGGACUGCUCCCCCCAGUACAGCCAGAUUUGCAACUAUGAAAUUGUCACAACAGAUGUGCCUUUUGCCAUUGACAGAAAUGGCAACAUCAGGAACACGGAAAAGCUGAACUUUGACAAGCAACAUCAGUAUGAGAUCCUGGUGACCGCUUAUGACUGUGGACAGAAGCCUGCUGCUCAGGACACCCUGGUCCAAGUGGAUGUGAAGCCAGUGUGCAAGCCUGGCUGGCAAGACUGGACCAAAAGGAUUGAGUACCAGCCUGGCUCGGGGAGCAUGCCCUUGUUCCCCAGUAUCCACCUGGAGACGUGCGAUGGCGCUGUGUCCUCCCUCCAGGUCACCGCCGAGCUGCAGACUAAUUACAUCGGCAAGGGCUGUGACCGGGAGACCUACUCUGAGAAAUCCCUUCAGAAAUUAUGUGGAGCAUCCUCAGGCAUCAUUGACCUCUUGCCAUCCCCGAGUGCAGCUACCAACUGGACUGCGGGACUGCUGGUGGACAGCAGUGAGAUGAUCUUCAAGUUUGAUGGCAGGCAGGGUGCCAAGAUCCCUGAUGGGAUUGUGCCCAAGAACCUGACAGACCAGUUCACCAUCACUAUGUGGAUGAAGCAUGGCCCCAGCCCGGGUGUGAGAGCUGAGAAGGAAACCAUCCUCUGUAACUCGGAUAAAACUGAAAUGAACCGGCAUCACUACGCCCUGUAUGUUCACAACUGCCGCCUCGUCUUCCUCCUGCGGAAGGACUUCGACCAGGCAGACACCUUCCGUCCUGCAGAGUUUCACUGGAAGCUGGACCAGAUUUGUGACAAAGAGUGGCAUUACUAUGUCAUCAAUGUGGAGUUUCCUGUGGUCACCCUAUACAUGGAUGGAGCAACAUAUGAACCAUACCUGGUGACCAAUGAUUGGCCCAUUCAUCCAUCUCAUAUAGCCAUGCAACUUACUGUCGGCGCCUGUUGGCAAGGAGGCGAAGUCGCCAAACCACGGUUUGCACAGUUUUUCCAUGGCAGCCUCGCCAGUCUCACGAUCCGUCCUGGCAAAAUGGAAAGCCAGAAGGUGAUUUCUUGCCUGCAAGCCUGCAAAGAAGGGCUGGAUAUUAAUUCCCUGGAAAGCCUCGGGCAAGGAAUAAAGUAUCACUUCAACCCUUCGCAGUCUGUUCUCGUGAUGGAAGGUGAUGACAUUGGGAACAUCAACCGAGCCCUCCAGAAGGUCUCCUACAUCAACUCCAGGCAGUUCCCAACAGCGGGUGUCCGGCGCCUCAGACUCUCUUCCAAAGUUCAGUGCUUUGGGGAAGAUGUGUGCAUCAGCAUCCCAGAUGUGGAUGCCUACAUCAUGGUCCUGCAGGCCAUCGAGCCCCAGAUCACCCUCCAGGGAACAGAGCGCUUCUGGAGACCUGCUGCCCAGUUUGAAAGUGCCAGGGGAGUGCCUCUCUUCCCUGACAUCAAGAUCGUGAGCACCUUUGCCAAAACUGAGACCUCUGGGGACACGAGAACCACAGGUACAGCCCCCAAAUCGGCAGUCUUGGAAGAAAUGCUGCACAACUUGGAUUUCUGUGACAUUUUGGUGCUUGGAGGGGACUUGGAUCCAAGACAAGAGUGCUUGGAGCUCAACCACAGUGAGCUCCACCAGCGACACUUGGAUGCCACUAAUUCUACAGCUGGCUACUCCAUCUAUGGUGUGGGAUCCAUGAGCCGCUAUGAGCAGGUGCUGCACCACCUCCGUUACCGCAACUGGCACCCCAGUUCCCUUGAGACCCGGAGGUUCCGCAUCAAGUGUUCAGAACUCAAUGGGCGUUACACUAGCAAUGAGUUCAACUUGGAGGUCAGUGUCCUCCAUGAAGUCAAAGUCUCUGAGAAGGAACAUGUCAACCACCUCAUUGUACAGCCACCCUUCCUCCAGUCUGUCCACCACCCUGAGUCCCGGAGCAGUAUCCAGCGCAGUUCAGUGGUCCCGAGCAUCGCUACAGUGGUCAUCAUUAUCUCCGUAUGCAUGCUAGUGUUUGUUGUGGCCAUGGGUGUGUACCGAGUCCGAAUUGCCCACCAGCAUUUUCUCCAAGAGACUGAGGCUUCUAAAGAGACGGAGAUGGAUUGGGAUGACUCUGCACUAACUAUCACAGUCAACCCUAUGGAGAAACAUGAAGGACCAGGGCAUGGGGAAGAUGAGACUGAAGGAGAGGAAGAAGAGGAAGCAGAGGAAGGCAUGAGCUCCAGCAGCAGUGGCUCUGACGAGAGCGAAGAGGAAGAGGAAGAAGGCACGGGCAGAGGCAGACAUGGGCAGAGUGGCACGAGGCAAGCCCAGCUAGAGUGGGAUGAUUCCACCCUCCCCUACUAGUGCCCACAGGUCUGCUGACCAGCCCGUGUGCCCCUUUUGUAAAGCCCAAACCAAUGUAUGCCCAAGCCUGUCACACUUGCCUCUAGGACAGGUCUGGGAAGGCCAUCAGCUUUCUGGAAUCUGCCCUCUAUGUUUCAGGCACUGCCUGUGUCCCAACCAUGGGGCAGUUCCAGAAGCCCAGUGUCACCAUCAGUGAGGACGUCAGGGUGGUUACACUGUCCUGUAGCCCUCACUUCUUCUGCCCUGGGCUCACCCAGAAUCCUGUCACCCCACCCAGUCUGCAGAGUUCUGAACACCUUGUUCUUUUCUGCAGGGGAGAAGGUCCACCUUUAUGUCACUUACCACCCCCUAGGCCCAGUGUUUUCAAACUCCUUGGGUUGUAACUCACUGUGUAUGUACUUGACUAAAGAGCCUUUCUCCACCUACACCAGCAGGGCCUCCCUGUGCUUGGUCUCCAGGUUGCUUUAUACAGGGAGGGCAGUGGAAUCUCAUAAAUGUAAUGUCUUGGGGCUUAAGAAUUGAAAAGAAAGCCUUUGUUGAGGCAGAAUCGAGUUUCCAGGGAAAGGUUCAUAGUGUAUGUAUACAUGCACAAACACGACACACACACACACACACAUGCAGUUCCUAGCUCAGAGAGUCUUUCCUUUUACUUCUUUCUGAGACUACAUAAACUGGUAUAAAAAGUUCAAAACCAAAAGUUAAUUGGUCUUAGACCCUAAGUAGAGUGGAUCCUCAUCAAAGGGCUUGCUGACCAGCGUUCAGACCUGCCUAGAUAAUGCCUAAACCCAUGGGGCUGCCCUGUCCAGGGCUAUCACCACACAGAACCACGGGGCCCAGGAAGCAUUUCACAUGGGCACUGCUCAGGUGACAACUUGGGCUUGGCUGUCGCCAAAGAAAGGACUAAUAUGGUGACCCAGCAAGGCUUCAUGGUAGAUAGAAAUCUGCUUUGACACAGGACAGGGUUGGUAUGGCUGCACUCCCCCAGAUAAGGGCAGCCUGAAGGUUGACAAGGCUUUCACCACCUAGCCUGUGGUCCCUUAUCUCCUAUGUUACUGUUUUCUCUUGAGGAAAUAACACCAUUUUUCAGAUGUAGUAGAACAAAUAUGGGCUCUCAUGGUCUGCAAUGAAAGUUGGGAAAUUGAACUGCUAGGAAUUCAAAGAAUAUUUGCAAUAAUAGCAGCUGCCUCUUUCUUCUUCUCAUAAAAGGAGGGAUGCUUUGAAUAGAGGGCAAAUAUAUCAAAACCCUAAUUUCUUGUUCUUUCUUCUUAUUUUAAUAAGGAAGACUUUUCCAUCUCCAUUCUAACGUGGGCACUUGGUGAGGAGAACUGUUGCUAUAGUAACUGGUGGACAAUCUUUUGUGGUCUAGAGAAUAGCAGGCAAGAAUGAAGGCUGUUGUAAGAGGUCCACAAGGCUCUGAGGACAUGUUUGUUUCAAACACCUUGAGCUCCUCUUUGUUCUCAGUCUGUAUAGGCCAUCCCCAUCAUCCCACUCUGCCCCAAGCCCAUCCUGAACUGGCUUGGUCCCCGUCCACAGUUGGUCUCUUGUUACACAGCCUUCAGGUUCAACUGAAUACUGAAUGGUCCCCAUGUCAUCCCAACAGAGCAUUCAGGGAGUGAUUGCAACUGAUGUCCUCUGGUCCUCUUCUCAGUCCCCCAGGCAGUGAGGAUCCAUGCCAGGUCUUUCCAAGCUUCUGGCCGGGGAGAUCUACCUUAUGCUGUUUUUCUUUCUCCUGCAGUGUUUUGUGCAUACCUUCCCAUUGUUUGAGUCUCCAAAUAACCUUGUGAAAUAUUUGAGAAACCUAUUAUUAGCUCUCAAAGCCCUGGAAGAGGUACCUGGAACACAGCAGGAGUCGUAAACAUUUGGAAGUGAAGUACCUAGCUUGUCCCUGCUGGUGAAGACUCAGUGUAUCACUAGCCUCCAUAUUGACUGAGCCAUAUAGAAGCAGGUUGAGCACACACUUCUCCUAGCUUAGAGAAGCCUUUGUGAAUUCCCACAGUCCAUGCAGUAGUCAGACAGCUACAGACACUGGGUCUGGUUCUCCAGCAGUGAACAGUGGCAAUGUGGCACACAGUGGCUUGCACACAUUUUGAACCUAUCUGAACAACACCCACAACAUUACCUGGUAGAGUCUGCCCACCCUACCAUUGCCUCUGCCUUUCCCUAAGUACCUGAUAGAUACUGUUGAGUCUGUCAUCCUCAGUCAUGAUGCUGGGACUAAAUAUAAAGGUUCUGGGUUCAGCCAAUCUCAGGCCCUUCCCUCCCCAUCUCUGGAGAUGAUGUCACCAUUUAAAAACCUUGUGUGAGAAGGCUGUUUGUUUCCAGCUCCUCAACCUCAGUGUGUGGGAAAGGCCUAAGAUAGACAAGCUGUUUGCUCUACUGGAGCCUCUCUGGGCUCCACCCUGCAGAGAGAAAAAGCAGCCUCAUUAUAUGGAACCCCCUUCUACCUGCUCCUUACUGGGCAGUGGCCAUUAGGUCCGAGCAGCUGGAGUGUCUUUACCUGGAGCCAGCUUCACCUGGGGAUUGUCCAGCGUGUCCUUGGCAUAUGUGUUCUGAGCCUCUUGAGCUGCUUCCAAGAAUGAAUCUUCUUAGUCUACAAAUGUAUUUAUUUGGUAACUAUGCUACUGUGUGUGUAUGAGUCUGAUCCAAUGCAAACCUUGAAAUGUCUUAUUAGGAGGACUUAUGAAUUUAUAGAAAAUUGAAUCUAACUUCAGAACAGUGCAUUAUGUUGUCGGUCAAUAAUGCUGCUCAGUCAGUCACAGGAGACCAGAGAAAAACCUUACCCUCCACCCCUCCCCUUGGCACCCUCUCCCUGCCUAAUUGCCCUACUAGAUUCUAAAUGAUGCAGAGUGAAGGAGGCCAAGAGUGUACAUGUACAUAAAGAUUUCAUAGGAAAAGAACCUCUUGGGGAAUCGGUUGAGUUUCUUCCCAUGACUGUGAUCUUCUCAUGCCUGAAUCCCAAACUUUAAAUUUCUAACAAUUUCGAUUCCUGCAGUUUCUGAGUAAUUUGUUAAAUGCCUAUUCAACACAGACAGAUAUUUAUUUUCAGCCUUGGCUUGUAAAUGCCUACAAACUGAUUCAUGUUGGUGGUCGUGAUGACACUUCUGUGAAUUGGUGAAUAAAUAUGAUUUUAGAAUUUCACAGUAAA